GAUGAAGAACGCAGCGAAAUGCGAUACGUAAUGUGAAUUGCAGAAUUCAGUGAAUCAUCGAGUCUUUGAACGCACAUUGCGCCCCCUGGUAUUCCGGGGGGCAUGCCUGUCCGAGCGUCAUUGCUGCCCUCAAGCACGGCUUGUGUGUUGGGCCUCCGUCCUCCUCCCGGGGGACCUGCCCGAAAGGCAGCGGCGACGUCCGUCUGGUCCUCGAGCGUAUGGGGCUCUGUCACUCGCUCGGGAAGGACCUGCGGGGGUUGGUCACCACUAUAUUUUACCACGGUUGACCUCGGAUCAGGUAGGAGUUACCCGCUGAACUUAAGCAUAUCAAUAAGCGGAGGA
rnacentral:misc_RNA from 1 species